CUUCUUACUACAAUGCAACACUUCUUCCCACCUUUUAGUUUUCCCCUGAACUGUGUGUUCCUGUUGUUUUCCAGUCACCAGGCUCUUUGUUAUUUGUUUGCUACCUGCUACUUCCCACUUGUUACCAUCCUGCCUUUGAGGUCUCUGCCAGUAAGACAUUUUUCCGUGAAUCAUUGAGUUCUUCUUAUCUGUUUUUCUGCGUUUGGUCCUUCACCCGCUGAUUCCAAUUCAGUUUAUAAUAUGAAUUGUCCAGCACUUCUCCCCCUUAACGGUAGACCUUCUUGGCUUACAUGCUAAAGGGGGGAACCGGCAGCAGUCUCAGAUGCUCCAAUGAACAUCGCACCAAAACAAUAAGACAUCACAGGGAUUGUGUUCUGUGUCUCUGUCCGAGGUGCUGAUUGAGGAUUUGUCAGCGGUGCAGGAGCUGUCCGAGCUGCAGCCACUCGCAAGUCAGUUGGCUAAAGAGCCACUCUCCUAAUCCUCACGGGACAGAAAAAGAGUGGACAUUUCUGUCUGACUUUCUUGGUACAAAUACAAUGUGACCAAGCAUUCAGGGCCCAGCCAUCCUAAUCCUUCCCAAGACAUGCAAUGUUUUGUUUUCUAUCUCUGUGUGGUCAGCUCUGGCUUGAGCUUUCGAAGAACAUAAAUCCAAAAACUGAAAGAAAGAAUGGUGCGUGGAUUUGUGCUGUAUGCCAAUAAAAAGUGCCUGUAGUCAUUUAGAUAACUGAGUUCUGCACCCUGGCAGGAGAGACUACAUCUGAAGCUUCACUGAAUACAGUCUGCCAGGGACAGUUAAAAAAAGCAAGAGAGGCUGCUGACAUGUGAGUUAUGAGACCACUUGGGGGAGUUGAUUAUGUUUGCCAUUUGGGUUGACACCUGGCUCAGUGGGACACCUGUAGCUGUGAGAAAAAUGAGAAGCAGAGGAAAAUGCAAAUCAAAGACCUCGCACCUCGCAGGGGAGGGUAUGAAAUGGCACUUCAUUGUAUGUGAUUGUGUUAUUGACUUCCUAUAUUUUCAUGUUAAUAUUUGGAGCUCACUUUCAGUGACCACAGACAUGGAGGAGCGUUAACUUUGUCAUAUUUGAUGUUUUGGGAAAGGAAGUCCUUUUACUGCUUAAGAGUUUCACGAUGUUGGCCUAAUUAUGGCUUGAAAAAAUACAGAUUAACCAAAGUACAUUUCAAGUGGUCUCACUGUGGUAAUACUGAGAGAUUAAUUCAUAUUUAUUGUCAACUUUUAGCAUAUUUUUCUUUUACAACUUGUUCUGGGCAUGGCCUCAAUUACCCCCAACACACAAACAAGUCAGUUGGAUGGAGGUGAAAGGGAAUAUAUUUUACUUGGAGCCCUGCCAUUAACACAACACUACAUCUUUUUGCCUUUCAUCGUGAGAUGCUUAUUCUGUAACCAGGAGCUGUGGGCAGUGGUAUAGGGUGUCAUUCUACUGGUUUGAGGGGGCCAUACAUUUUUGGUUUGCAAAAUAACCAGCACAAUGCCUUUUUUUUUUUUUAUAGGCUCUGUUUCAUAUUUUUGACAUUUAUACUGGCAUAUCACGCAUAUUGCAAUAACCACUUAGUGCCAUGUGUUGGACAAACAAAGCAAAAAGAGACCUUCAAAAUUGUAUUUGACUUUAGUCCAGUUUCUCAGUUACCUUUCCCUUUUUUCCUUCACUUGGAAUGUUCAAACCUUCUUUGACAAAGACUGUCUGAUCUUAAAGACCUGCAGUUACAGGAUGUUUCAGGAUUCACUGAUCAUCAGGUCAUGUUUCCCCUUCCUGCUCUCUCACUCUCAACUCCGUCAGUGUGAGCGCUCAAACAAGCAAAACUGUCACUCAGUCCUGAAUCAGGUCAUAAAUGUGCUGUGUAAUGUGUGCACUGCGGGGCCUAAAAGACAGGGUUGUGCAAGCUCACACUUCACAAGAGCUUUCUCAAAGUUCUGUUCACACACAUUAAUGUCCCAAAAGAUUGAACUAGUUGGCGUUUAUUAACUUAUUUCUUAAGCGGUCAGAUGCUUCAACCUGAUGUGUUGUCUUAAAUCAUUGCUGAUUUUUUAUUAUUUUCAUAGAAAAGUGAAUCUUUACCUUGGACUAUCUACUGAUUUGUUUUAUAAAACAAAUAUUCAUGUGAACUGAAUUCAGCAGCACCAGUAGCUGCAUUGUCAUGAAUUGGGUGCCUCAGUGUGUGAGCUAACCUCCCAGGCCGAGGAAUUUCUGUGGCCACGGCAAGAAAUUGUUUAAA